UUUCUGGUUGCAGAAGCAUGUCUAAUUGCUGGUGCAGCGAAAAAUGCAUACCACACCAAGUACCGAGGAAUGAUAUAUGCUCAAAAUUUCUCAUGCGAAACAUUGCGGAAAGGUGUUUUUGUUGCUGGAGCAGUGUUUGCUGUUGCAACAAUGGUUCUUAAUGUAUAUUACUACUUGUAUUUCUCAAAGGCUACUGCUCCUCUUCCAGCCCAGAAAGCAAAUCGUACAAGUUCAAAUGUNACUGGCUACGCAUAGAAUCAUCUACGAGACCAGAUAACUAAGUUUUGCUUCAUGAUGUUUUGAGUUCUGGUGGUGAUUGUAUCAUACGAUUGUUGUGCUUAUCUGGUGAUAUAUAGUGAGUUUGUGAUUUAUGAAAGCC
rnacentral:misc_RNA from 1 species